rnacentral:rRNA from 1 species
CCUACGGGGAGCUGCAGUCGAGAAUCAUUCACAAUGGGGGAAACCCUGAUGGUGCGACGCCGCGUGGGUGAAUGAAGGUCUUCGGAUUGUAAACCCCUGUCAUGUGGGAGCAAAUUAAAAAGAUAGUACCCCAAGAGGAAGAGACGGCUAACUCUGUGCCAGCAGCCGCGGUAAUACAGAGGUCUCAAGCGUUGUUCGGAAUCACUGGGCGUAAAGCGUGCGUAGGCUGUUUCGUAAGUCGUGUGUGAAAGGCGCGGGCUCAACCCGCGGACGGCACAUGAUACUGCGAGACUAGAGUAAUGGAAGGGGAACCGGAAUUCUCGGUGUAGCAGUGAAAUGCGUAGAUAUCGAGAGGAACACUCGUGGCGAAGGCGGGUUCCUGGACAUUAACUGACGCUGAGGCACGAAGGCCAGGGGAGCGAAAGGGAUUAGAUACCCCGGUAGUC